UCCGGUUUGUCACCGGCAGUCUCAUUAGAGUGCCCUUUCGUAGCAACUAAUGACAAGGGUUGCGCUCGUUGCGGGACUUAACCCAACAUCUCACGACACGAGCUGACGACAGCCAUGCAGCACCUGUGUACUGGCUCCCUUUCGGGCACCCUCCAAUCUCUCGGAGGUUCCAGCCAUGUCAAGGGUAGGUAAGGUUUUUCGCGUUGCAUCGAAUUAAUCCACAUAAUCCACCGCUUGUGCGGGUCCCCGUCAAUUCCUUUGAGUUUUAACCUUGCGGCCGUACUCCCCAGGCGGUCAACUUCACGCGUUAGCUUCGUUACCAAGGGAGUUAAUCCCCCGACAACCAGUUGACAUAGUUUAGGGCGUGGACUAC
rnacentral:misc_RNA from 1 species